CAUUUUUUCUUAGGAGUGUUUUGGGGUAUAAACAACUCUGGUCCGGGUUCUUCAGAGGUUUGAUCCCAACUGGUCUCCAUCCAGAUUUUUAUCAUAAUCUCUACCUCCUUUCUCGUAUGCUGGUGCUGGUAGGGACUUCCUGAUUUUAAGAGCUACUUUUCCACCUUUUAAGAGAUUUAUGGUGGGAGGUCAGUGAUCCUGUGAUGCAGGCAUCAAAAUCCACAGCUUUGGUUUAUGAGGAAGCUGAAGCUCAGGAAGGUUAAGUGAAAUAACAGAUCACACGCUACCCAUCCCUGGAAAGCCAAGUUUCUGAAGGAAACGGAAUCAUGCCUUGACAUUCCUAAUGAUGGGGAUUGUGUCCCACACAGAGCCCAGCGCUGUGUCCAGUACAUGAUGAGUAUUCAAGCAACACUUGUUUAAGUAUUUAAUUCAGCGUUUAUUAUCUCUUGUAAUACUCAAAGCCACCCUGAAAGCUCAAUAUUCUUAGCUCUAAUUUGUGAAUAAUAAAG